UGAAUAGCAGGAAAGCAAGGCGACAGUGCAUCUUCAAUUUGUGAACGGAGAAAUUGAAGUAUUGAUUUUUAUUUAUUUAUCAUCUAAUAUUUUUUGAGCAAAAAAAUGACACGAUUUUUGGGAGAUCACGUUUGUUUUUAUUCAAAUCAUUUUUUUAAAUCUAUUGCUUAAUGAUUUAAAUUUAAAGAUGCUAUAUUUUAGAGCGGGAAAUGUUUUUUUUGCAGCCAAAUACCUAACAAGGCCCAUGGUUCGGGGGCAGAGCUUCUUACAUUGGACUUAGAGCGCUUCUUCGUCGAUUCCAAUUGGGACUUUUUUGUAAAAUCUAGAUUUUUGAGAAAUGUUUGACAUUUUUAAAAUUUUAACGCGCAAAUUGACUAGUUUUGGAAGUUUUUGAAAUUCUGAGUGGUGCGUUGCGGUCGCGUCGCGGUCAAACUAUCAAGUAGUAAGACAAUUUAAGCAUAUUUGUGUGAUUUUUUGAGCUCUUUGUCAAAUUUCCCAAGAUUUGACACCCGUACUGACUAGUUUUGGAGACUUUUCAAACUUUCUAUGGUGCGUUGCGGUCGCGUCGCGGUUGGAUGUUAAAAGUAGUAUUUACAGGAGGAUUCAAAGUAUCAUUUAGUAUUUUAAAUUUAAACUUCUUUUUUUUUCGAAAAACCCCGAUUUUUAGAUGAUCUUGUUUUUUUGUUUUGUUUUUUUUUUGGAUUGGAUCCCCUUUUCCGACUAUUAGCUUUUUCGACUAAAUCGGAUUGUUCAUCGCUGGAUAGUUUCGUGCUCAAACCAAAUGCACAUUGAGCUGAAAAGUUUCAAAGUAAACUUUUUUGAAGUAAAAACUUCCAGGUACUUACCGAUAAAAAACAGGAGAAGUAGGCGACAUAGCAUCUUCAAUUUGCGAACGGACAAAUCGAAAUAAAUUGAUUUUUAA
ensembl:antisense_RNA anr-48 ncRNA